GAAUGGCCGCGGUAAUUUGACCGUGCUAAGGUAGCAUAAUCAUUAGUUUUUUAAUUGAAAGCUGGUAUGAAUGGUUAAAUAAGAAAAUAACUGUCNCUAAUUAAUUUUUAUUGAAUUUUAUUUUUAAGUAAAAAAGCUUAAUUAAUUUUGAAAGACGAGAAGUCCCUAUAGAGUUUAAUAAAAAUGUUAAUUUUAAAUUUUUAGGAUUUUUAAUUUAAAAUAAAGUUUUUAUUUGAUUGGGGUGAUUGAAAAAUUAAAUUAACUUUUUCUUUAUUUUUACAUAAAUUUAUGAAUUUUUGAUCCAUGGAAAUGAUUAUANGAUUAAAUUACCUUAGGGAUAACNGCGUAAUUUUUUUUGAGAGUUCUUAUCGAAAAAAAAGUUUGCGACCUCGAUGUUGGAUUAAAAUUAAUUUUUGGUGUAGAGGCUAUAAA
rnacentral:rRNA from 1 species